UACGUAGGGUGCGAGCGUUGUCCGGAUUUAUUGGGCGUAAAGAGCGUGUAGGCGGCCGAGCAGGUCCGUUGUGAAAACUGAAGGCUCAACCUUCAGAGGUCGAUGGAAACCGUUCGGCUAGAGUCCGGAAGAGGAGAGUGGAAUUCCUGGUGUAGCGGUGAAAUGCGCAGAUAUCAGGAAGAACACCCGUGGCGAAAGCGGCUCUCUGGGACGGCACUGACGCUGAGACGCGAAAGCGUGGGGAGCGAACAGG
rnacentral:rRNA from 1 species